UUAGCACAUGCUUGUCUGGAUGUCUUCACCUUUGUUUACUGCUAACCUGAACCAAGUAAAGAAAGGACUGGAACUAAACCUGCAUUUGAUCCUCACAUGGCUCCAUCAAAUGUCAUCAUCUGCAGGAACAUGCAGCAUGAAGUGGUGAAAAAGUCUUGCUAUAGAUCUGCGUAGCUGUGGAGAAAACACCGCUGCUCCAUUAGCCGAGCAACAACAAUCGAGGGAUCGCGGUGAAACAUUCAUCAUCCACAGGCUCCGCCUCCUCUUGGUCCCUGCCAGUCGGUCUGUCUUCCAGCGUUUUUCUGCAGUAUCCAAAAAUGAGGCUGUUGUUUGACACUUCCUUCUUCUCGUGCUCUGAAUAAUAUAUUGGAAAUUAACAUCUCGGGUUGAAUGGGGGAGGCUACAAAGAGACGUGCAUGU